rnacentral:tRNA from 1 species
UAGGAAGUGGUGUAUUGGAAGCACUAAGAGUUUUGAUCUCUUCAGGAAGGAUUCGAAUCCCUUCUUCCUAA